GUUAGGAAUAUUGGACAAUGGGCGAAAGCCUGAUCCAGCCAUGCCGCGUGAACGAUGAAGGCCUUCGGGUUGUAAAGUUCUUUAGCCGAUGAUUAUAAUGACUGUAGUCGGAAAAUAAGCCCCGGCUAACUUCGUGCCAGCAGCCGCGGUAAUACGAAGGGGGCGAGCGUUAUUCGGAAUCACUGGGCGUAAAGCGUGCGUAGGCGGUUUUGUAAGGUAGGAGUGAAAGCCCAGGGCUCAACCUUGGAAUUGCUCUUAAAACUGCAAGGCUCGAAUCUCGGAGAGGAUAGCGGAAUUUCCAGUGUAGCAGUGAAAUGCGUAGAUAUUGGAAGGAACACCAGUGGCGUAAGCGGCUAUCUGGACGAGUAUUGACGCUGAGGCACGAAAGCGUGGGGAUCAAACAGGAUUAGAAACCCCAGUAGUCC
rnacentral:rRNA from 1 species